rnacentral:rRNA from 1 species
UACAGAGGGUGCAAGCGUUGUUCGGAAUCACUGGGCGUAAAGCGCGCGCAGGCGGAUGGUUGCGUCCGGCGUGAAAUUUCGCCGCUCAACGGCGAAGCUGCUUUGGAUACGGACCGUCUAGGGACCGGUAGAGGCUGGUAGAAUUGCAGGUGUAGCGGUGGAAUGCGUAGAGAUCUGCAAGAAUACCCGUGGCGAAGGCGGCCAGCUGGGCCGGAUCCGACGCUGAGGCGCGAAAGCGUGGGGAGCAAACAGG